ensembl:lncRNA
GGGGUAAAUAAAAUUAAGGGUACUAAUCCAUAAAUAUUUUUUAAAUCCUAGAAAAAAAAUCAAUCAAAACAAAAUUUUUAAAUCCUAAUAAAGUAGAAAAAAAUGUUAGCUAGACUGUUCAAGGAAAGAAAAGAUGUUUAUAAAUGAAUAAACUAGACUGGGCAUGGUGACUCACGCCUGUAAUGCCAGCAGUUUGGGAGGCCAAGGUGGCAAGAUCACGAGGUCAGGAGUUCAAGACCAGCCUGGUCAAUACGGUGAAACCCCGUCACUAUUAAAAAUACAAAAAUUAGCCACGUGUAGUGGUGCAUGUCAGUAGUCCCAGCUACUCGGGAGGCUGGGGCAGAAGAAUCACUUGAGCCCGGGAGGUGGAGGUUGCAGUGAGCCAAGAUUGCACCAGUGCACUCCAGCCUGGGUGACAGAGUGAGACUCCGUUUCAAAAAAAAAAAAAAAAAAAAGAAUAAACUAUAUUGGAAUUGAAUUGGUGCCAAUAAGACAAGAAUUGCAAAUAUAACUAUCUGUAAGAAAAAAUUGUGACGUGCUUUUGCCAGCAUAUCACAAUUUGAAACUUUUGAUGAAAUAGACAAAGACUUAGACAUAUAUAAUAUGAAAAAGACUUAGAAAGAAUGAGAAAGCUUGAAAAGUCCUGUAACUAUUAAGGAGGUUGAAAUAGAUGUUUAAAAUCCUCACACAAUAAAAGUACAGACAGUUGUGUAAGUUAAUUCUACCACCACGUUUUAAGGUAGAUACUGUCUUUCAUAAUGUUAUAUUGUUCUAUCAUAAAACAGAAAAAGGCGGAAUGCUUCUCAAUCCACAAAUGAUAUUUGUCUAACGUAACUAUCAAGUACCCUGUACGAGAAAUGCAAAUUACUCCCAACCCUACUUACCAUGUAGACAGUUUAUAUGAGUGAAAUUUUUGUCUCAUAAUGGGUCAUCACUGGACACUGUAGUACUUUAAAAUCAAGGGAGAGAAGAAUAACCAUGUUAUUUAAAAAUUUAGUUUUAAAAGAAUUUACUCAAGAUAUAUAUGCUUGCUGGGAUGAGAAAUAUCAGUCUCCUCCCAUCAUCUUUUUCCUUCCACUCCUGUUUCUUAUGUCCUUUUUCCAGAGUACAUACUCCAACCCGACUCUCACCCUCUAAGUUCCUCAAGGCAGACUAGCUUCUCCUUUCUUCUGAAAUCUUAACACUAACUAAGGGAUGGUACUCAUCUUCUACCAAACUCACCAAGGCCCUUAGCAGAACCAAAGCCUGAGCACUAACAUGACCAUUCUCUCCAGAAAGUAGAGAAGGAGAUAUCACAUGCUGCCUUCACUAUUAAAAUCCAUCAGAGUUAUAUGGUUACACAGCUCACUCCUGGUCAAAUUCUGUCCCCUAAGAUGUAACAAACCCCCAAAGUGAAAAUCUAGCAAAACAGUAGUCUUGAGAAAAAGCAUUAGGCAUAUUCUCUAAGUGUAUCUUAUAUAAAUAGUCUAUUGCAGUUUCUUUAAAAAAGUGUACCUAAGCUACCAGAAAAUGUUGGAAAUUUGGAAAGGAAAAUUAAAAGGCCAUGUGCUUCUUAAAUUUAUUUCCUGAACCCUCAAGUAUGUAAAUGAGGAAAGAAGUGAAAAACAGCAGGUCAGGUUCCCACUUCUUCUAUUGAAAUGUUAUCACAAUUUAACAUACUAGAAAAGGGGCAUGCCUGUGAUAUGCUAACGACUUCAAACCGGAAAAUGUGUGAGCUUUGGGAAAAGCUCAUUAAAGACUUUAACCUAAGAAAAAAGUUCAUUUUGGUCUCUCAUGUAAACUAGAGCAUUCCUUAUGCUUGCCCAUUUCCUGUUUUUAUAUGCUCCAGAAAUUUUCCCUAUAGUUUGGUCUUAUUUUCUCCUUUAAGCCAAGAUUUAUAAUAGUUUUCUUCCCACAUAUUUUGUUUGUUUCCUUGCUAGUUUCUUUGACUUUAGCUUUUGUCUUUUGAAAGAGAGAGAGGUGAUCCCUAGAGUCACUGUUUGUUCGUUCCCUACACUUUAACGCUCUACCAAUUUGGAUUUUAAUGGUUUGG